GGAGGGAUGGUGGCUCAGUGGUAGAGCAUCUGCUUUGUAAGCAAAAGGACCCAGGUUCUAUUCCUGGCAUCUCCA